rnacentral:rRNA from 1 species
AUGGCGGGCGUGGGUGCCGGGACGGGGGCGUUGGGCUCUGUCAUCGUCAAGCUCGCCACCCUGCUUGGCAAGGAGUACACGAUGCUCAAGAGGGUGCGCAAGGACAUCGCCUUCCUUGAGCGCGAGCUCCGCAGGAUGCAGAACCUGGUCAACGCUCUGGCCGACAUGGAGGUGCUCGACAAGGUUGCCAAGGACUGGAAGGGCAACAUGCGGGACCUCAGCUACGACAUGGAGGAGUGCAUCGACCGGUUCAUGAUCCGCCUUGGCGAUGCCAAGCUCAGCUUCCCCAAGAAGGCUGCACGCCGGCUCAAGAAGCUGUUCGCGCGCCAUGACAUCGGCACCCAGAUCAAGGAGCUCAAGGACCGGGUCAAGGAGGAGGAAGAACGGCGGCUGAGGCUGAAUCUCGACAAGUAUGCUGCAAUUGGGCCAACGAGGCCCGUGGAGAUAGAUCCCCGGCUGGCUGCGUUCCACGGGGUGGCCAAGGGCUUGGUGGCCAUUGACGGCCCCAGGGAUCAGCUUGUCUCUUGGUUGACGGAGGAGAGCGUGGAGCUGAAGGUGGUAGCCAUUGUUGGUGGUGGGGGGCUGGGAAAGACCACCCUUGCCAUGGAGACCUCUCGCAAGAUUGGAGAGCACUUCCAGCACAGAGCUUCUGUGUCCGUGUCACGCACCCCUGAUCUCGAGAAGCUCUUGAAAGAUGUCCUUUCUCAGAUCGACAAAGAUAAAUUUAGGGAAUGCCAGUCCGAGAGAUGGGACGAAAAACAACUAAUCCGUGAAAUCCAACUGCUCUUGACAGGAAAGAGGUACUUUCUUGUUAUUGAUGAUGUAUGGAAAGAACAAGACUGGAGAUCUCUCAAAGCAGUUUUUCCUGACAAUUGUAAUGGCAGCAGAAUAAUUAUUACUACACGCAUUGCCAAUGUAGCUAAGUCAAGUUGUUCAAACUCUGGUGACCACCUCUAUCAAAUGCUACCCCUCAACAAUGUUGAUUCCCGAAGAUUGUUCCUUCGGAGAAUUUUCCACUCCGACAACUCUUGCCCUCCUCAACUACAAGAAGUCUCAACUAGGAUCCUGAGAAAAUGUGGUGGUCUGCCAUUGGCUAUAGUUACAAUUGCGAGUUUGCUGGCCAAUAAACCUCAAAACCUAGAUGAAUGGGAGAGACUCCAAGGUUCCAUUGGUACUGGUAUUUCAUAUGAGAGUGAUGAUGGAGGAAAUGGUAUGAGACAUAUAUUGUUACUUAGUUAUUGGGAUCUUCCACACCACUUGAAGACUUGUUUGUUGUACUUAUGUAUAUAUCCAGAGGACAAGUAUAUCCCGUGUGAAGAACUAAAAAGGAAAUGGCUAGCUGAAGGAUUCAUUGCUACAAAACGGGGAAACUUGUAUCAAGAAGCAGAGAGCUGUUUUAAUGAACUUGUCAAUAGAAGCUUGAUUCAGCUGGUUUAUGCAGAUCCUCAAGGUUAUGGUUUUGACCAAUACUGUCGAGUUCAUGAUAUGGUCCUUGACCUCAUAAUAUCUCUGUCAGAUGAAGAGAAUUUUGCCACUAUUUUAAACGCUGAAUGCAAUUCUUUGCCAAGCAAGAUCCAUCGAAUCUCCCUGCAAUCUAGUGGGAAUGAACAUAAAGGGGCAAUCCAAUCAAUCACAAGAAGCAAGUUACAUGUUCGCUCACUAAAUGUGUUCGGAGAAAGUAAGUAG